rnacentral:rRNA from 1 species
GAUGAACGCUGGCGGCGUGCUUAACACAUGCAAGUCGAACGGAAAGGCCCUGCUCUUGUGGGGUUCUCGAGUGGCGAACGGGUGAGUAACACGCGAGUAACCUGCCCUUGACUUUGGGAUAUCAUCACGAAACUGGGGCUAAUAUCGGAUAGGAUCUCCUGCACCAUGGUGGUCAUUGGAAAGUUUCGGCGGUGGGGGCUGGAGUGGCGGCUUAUCAGCUUGUUUGUGGGGUAGUUGCUUACCAAGCCUUUGACGGAUAGCCUGCCUGGGAGGGUGACCGGCCACCAUAGGACUGCGAUAGGGAGCAGUAGGCAAUGGGAGGCAGCAGGCGAGAGUAUUGCACAGCGAGCGCGAGCGUGUUGCAGAGGCGUUGCGUGCGGAAAGCCGGCCUUUGGGUUAUGAACCGCUUUCGCCUGUGACGAAGCGUGAGUGACGGUAAUGAGUAAAGAAGCACCGGCUAACUACGUG